rnacentral:rRNA from 1 species
AGGAUCAUUCGCAAUGGGGGAAACCCUGACAAUGCGACGCUGCGUGGAGGAUGAAGGCCUUCGGGUUGUAAACUCCUGUCAUGGGGGAACAGGCGAGGGGACCCAACACGUCCCUUAGUUGAGUGUACCCCAAGAGGAAUUGGCGGCUAACUCUGUGCCAGCAGCCGCGGUAAUACAGAGGCCAAGAGCGUUGUUCGGAUUUACUGGGCGUAAAGGGCGCGUAGGCGGCAUGGCGUGUCGGAUGUGAAAUCUCCGGGCUCAACCCGGAAAGUGCGUCCGAAACUACCGUGCUGGAGUAUGGGAGGGGGAAUCGGAAUGCAGGGUGUAGCGGUGAAAUGCGUUGAUAUCCUGCAGAACACCGGAGGCGAAGGCGGAUUCCUUGAACAUCACUGACGCUGAGGCGCGAAAGUCGGGGGAGCAAACA